CCCUGAUAAGGGUGAGGUCGGUAGUUCGAAUCUACCUGGGCCCACCAUUCAAUCAGGCAAGGGGCCGUAGCUCAGCUGGGAGAGCGCCUGCUUUGCAAGCAGGAUGUCAGCGGUUCGAUCCCGCUCGGCUCCACCAAUUGCGAAUUUAUAGUUUUUUUGUUCUAGGGAUUUUUUUUUAGAGCGAUAGUUUUUUGAAAAUUGAAUAGAAGGUAGAUUUUUUUGUAUUUUUUAUAUUGGCAUUGUAUGCGAUAUGGGAGGUACCGACGUUGUAACCGCACGUUGAAGAUUUAUCUCAGGAAAUUGGUCUAUUGAAAGAGCAUAAUUUAUUUAUGUUUUUUUAAUUAAGAAACGUUUGUAAUGAGCUUUAUGACGUAUUGACAAUGAGAGUGAUC
rnacentral:tRNA from 1 species